rnacentral:lncRNA from 1 species
CCAUUGUCCUUGGAAUAUUCUUUAUAUAUGCUUGUGUUCCCCCAUGUACUUUUUGUAAUGAUUUCUUGUUUAUAAUAAUAAUAAUAAUAAUAUAAAAAUGUAAUAUAUAAAAAAUCUGAAAAAAUAUAUCGCUAAGGUUUGACUUUUUCAGACCGGCAUUUCUAUAGACAACCCUGUGUAUAUUCCGGGUCCUGAGUCAACGUGGGACAUUUGGGAUAUUGGACAGUAACUGUGACGACUUAUCAUGAUGCCGGGGGAGAAUCUUUCCAAAAUCGCUUCAGGAGCAACUACUGGAGCCUGUCAAAACUGCACUGUGCUUCACCAGAACCUAAACGAAUAUGUGGCAGCUCUCCUGGUUUUGAAACAGAAAACUAUUGACUCCGAGUAAGUAACUAACGUUAUUAGACUUGUGUGAUGAGAUGAGCCUGUACAGGCCCCUAAAACACAGCUAACUACAUACAUACUCAGGGUGGGGGG